AUUAAAGCUUAAAGUAGUUGAUAAUAUAAAAUUAAAACAAUGCACAUGCUUCACAAGUAUACUUUAAAGAUAAUUAUUCAGAUAUAGAACAUGUGGAUUAAUUUCAAACACCAAAAAAUAGCAUGUCCAUUUGAGUACAAAGAAUGUAAUUAUAACUAGGUUAAUUUUUAAAGUAAUUUGUAUUUUACAGAAGUCUUCUCUAUCAUUGACUAUUACCUUUGUAGCUAUAUUUGGAUACUGGUCAUCUAAACGUUUACAACUUUGGUGAGGUCAUUCUGGGCUUUUCACUUUAACUCAACUUUUCAGGAAAUAUGCAGUGUAGAUAUUGUCCACUACUCCAGGGGUGAGCUCUUUUCGUAUUACCCCACAACUCAGGGUUCAUAGAGUUUCACUGAGAGCAUCAGGUCUUGUCUUUUUCCUAUUAGUUAAAACUAGUAUUUCUGAAUGAUCCAAUUGUAGGAUACAUGCUUGAUGAUGCAGAUAGCAGUUCAUUAGAAAUCCUAGAAAAUAGUGAAACAACACCAAGCAAAGACAUGAAAAAAACAAAGAAGAUUUUUCUGUUCAGAAGGGUCCCCUCAAUAAAUCAAAAGAUUGUCAAGAAUAACAAUGAGCCGCUCCCAGAGAUAAAACCCAUAGGAGAGCAGAUCAUUUUAAAAAGUGAUAAUAAAGAUGCCAGCCAGAACCACGUGAGUCAGAAUCAUCAGAAUAUCCCACCAGCAAAUACAGAGAGAAGAUCAAAAUCGUGUACAAUACUAUAAAUAUAUAUUUAUGUUUUCACAGUCACGAAGUGUAUUGUAAUGUAUACUUGAAAAAUGUUAUAACUUAUGAAGGAAAGUUUCUGAUAGUAGUCUUUUAAAGAUAUAAGUUAAUAUGUUUUAUUCAGCUUCUAUAAGUGUGACCAGUUUUGAUAUUUAUUUAUGCUAAUAUUUUUAACAAGUCGUUUCAAAAUAUGUGUAUCUCAAAUUCUCCCUAAAGUGUUGUGGCCUCAACUGUUCAGUGUUGCAAUAAAAAAUAUAUUUUUAUACGUGGAAAAUUGAAA
rnacentral:sRNA from 1 species